rnacentral:lncRNA from 1 species
AAACAUAUUUCCAUAAACUAGCCUAUACAUGUCAUAUUUACACAACUUCCAUGAGUUCAAAAGUACCGAGAAAUUGACUGGAUAGUGUGAUGCUUAUCUCCAACGUCGUCUGAAUCGAGCUAGCUAACAAACCACUAUAAAACACGAAGGAAUAAACUGAGUAAGCAUUAAAGCUUAGUAAGUUGAUAUGUAAAUAAUAAGCAAUCUGUUAACAUGCUUUUACCAAUCCUCAC